ACGAACGCUGGCGGCGUGCUUCACACAUGCAAGUCGAACGGAAAGGCCCUGCUUUUGUGGGGUGCUCGAGUGGCGAACGGGUGAGUAACACGUGAGUAACCUGCCCUUGACUUUGGGAUAACUUCAUGAAACUGGGGCUAAUACCGGAUAGGAGCUCCUGCUGCAUGGUGGGGGUUGGAAAGUUUCGGCGGUUGGGGAUGGACUCGCGGCUUAUCAGCUUGUUGGUGGGGUAGUGGCUUACCAAGGCUUUGACGGGUAGCCGGCCUGAGAGGGUGACCGGCCACAUUGGGACUGAGAUACGGCCCAGACUCCUACGGGAGGCAGCAGUGGGGAAUAUUGCACAAUGGGCGGAAGCCUGAUGCAGCAACGCCGCGUGCGGGAUGACGGCCUUCGGGUUGUAAACCGCUUUCGCCUGUGACGAAGCGUGAGUGACGGUAAUGGGUAAAGAAGCACCGGCUAACUACGUG
rnacentral:rRNA from 1 species